AUCAGAGGAGAGGAAGAGAGAAGUGAUUGAGAAAUAUGUUAGCCGGGCCAGGGGCGGUAUAUAACAGCAACGCGUAUGGAGAUGGGAUGAAAUAGUCGGAUAGCAUGGACUUCGAAUGAAGAGAAAGAGAGUGAUGGGGCAGAGGGAAUAGGUUGAAAAGUACACGUAGGGGAGAGUAUGAAGCCUACCCCCCUCUCCCUCCACCCUUCCUGUCAUCAGGUCUGGGAGUGUGAGUGAGGUGUAGGCCACCAUAGGAGAGAGCAACGGGAGAGGCAGUGUUAGAAGGGCAUAGCCAGGUCUCAGUUAGAGCGAGAAGGUGUAAGGAACUAGAGAUAAAGUGAUCAUGUAGGGCUGUUUGUUUGUUACAGACAGAGCACGCAUUCCAGAGCGCAAGGGUAAAUGGGGGAAGGAGGAGCGGCAGGGUAUGUGGGAGAUUAUUGAUUUCUGGAAUGUUGACUGGGAGAGGAUGGGGGAGAGAUCACCUAAGGAGGUCCAGGGUUUGGGGAAAUAUCCCCAGCUGCUAAACAAAUAGUAGAAGAGAAAGCGAGAGGAGGUGGGAAUAGGACCUGUGCGAACGGAGAGAUUGCUGGGAGUGAGGGGAGGUGGGGGAAAGGGAGGAGGUGACGUUGAAAAGUGCUUGGGAUGAGAGAAGGGGAGAAGAAAGUAGUCAUGGUGCAAUACAGACAUAGUGUGGGGUUGCAGGUGGCUGGAGAGAGAUAAUGAUUUUACUAACAACAGAGGAAAGAGAAAAGUGGAACAAGAGGAUUGUGAACACGGUUGGAAUAGCUUUGUUCACAGUUGAAAGAGGAAACGUGCUGGAGACAACAGACGGCAUUAGAAGACCAAUGUAUGAAAAUCUGGAGUGUGUGUAAGACACCGUCUAAGCAACUGAUUUUGGAACACGCGGACAGCAAAAGGUUUCCCCGAUCGGAUGGCUUCUGCGGAAAAAAUUUUGUCAACGUCAGAAAAUGUCACAGAAUUUAUAAGGUCCACACGCUAAUGACAUUUCUUUAUAAACGUCAUAAACAAUUAUAAACUGCCUGCCGUCCUUUACUUAGUGUGUUUCAGUUUAGGAACUCUGGACGUAUGCAGAAUCCCAAUCUGCACUGCUUGGGCACCGUGUCUUUAGUUUUAUUAUUUACUGCCACAAUAUUUUACAGAAGGCGUGGAAGGUCCUGCUCACUAGUGCUUAUAAUCCAGAGAGAAGUGUAAAUCUGACAGACAAGGUUCAGUAUGUAGGUGACGAUAAUUUACCUUUCUGCAGUGGUCAUAGAUAUAAACCUUCUACAUCCAUACUAACCGCACUAGUGCACUCGUCCAAAAUGGCAAACUGGGGUACAUGGUAAAAUUAUCUUGCCAUCUGGAAAUAAACAUAAGUUUAGCUCUCAAGUAACGAGUCUACUUAGCCAAA